GGCCGUACUUUCUUACCUGAGCUAUAUCUUUUCCUUAAUUUUUCAUUCCCUGUCUCAUUUUCACCUUUGUUUUUUUCUAUCACUGUUUAUACCGUCUUCAUUCAUGAAUGCCAAGAUAACAUUUAACAAGAUUAACAUCUCUCUACUUUUCUUGUUGUAACUCUGAUGUUAUUCAACCUGAACAUCACAUUUCAAAUUUUAGUUUUCUGCAUCUUCAAAAGAAAUCCAAGUCUGAAAAAUCAGUUUCUUUUUUCUACUCUCAGGGGAAACUGAAAUUUAAGUGCAGCUGUGCAGAAAUCAUGUGUCAUGCUAUUGUCAACAGAGUCCUUGAACUGCACAAAUUCAAAGUAUGAAAUGGCUAUUAUUAGAUGUUCCAGUAAUGUAAGAUUAAUUUAAUCACAGUACUGGAUUGAGUGAGGUAUGUGGUUAUUCAUUAUGGCAUGAGAGUUAAUCCAGGAUGAAUUGUUUGUGAUUAUUUAUGGUGUAAAUGAACUAUUCGAUCUGGCCCCAUUUGAUAUGUGGUAAAUCAGUUUUCAUUUUGGCCCUAUACGACACGGUAUUAAUGUCAGAACCAAGGUUUGAUCUGAUGACUCCAUAUUAUGUCUUGUGGAACCAGACACUCAAAAGCCUUUUGAGUAAGCUGCAGGUGUUGAAUUCACAUCUCAAGUACAUCAAUGUUCAAAUUACAUCUCGCAAAAUUAGCUCCCAACAAUCAGAUGAGCUAUUUUAACACAAACAUGUUAAAUAAGUCUUUUACUGUUACAUUUCCAUCCACUGACAUUGGCCUUAUUGCUGCCUUUUUUUCUACAUCAUGUUUGUAAAGCUAUUCUGUUGUUGUCAGUAUUCAAUACCUUUCUUUGAUAAUACACAUGAAAUUAGUGUGAUUUUGUUUUAUUUCUUCCAUCUUUUCCAUUUUGUAAAAUCUUUUGUGUUUUUCAUUUGUUCCCCUCAUUGCAUGUUUUCUCUAACUCAUUGGACUAUACCCGGCUGCUGCUAUUGUUAGAACUGUCCGAUGGGCUGUAACCACUUCUGUGGACUGAAUUUCUGAUCCAAACGUUCUGACCGAUCACCACCACAAGCGGCUGCUGUUCUGCCUGUUAGCGUUUUCACGCCGCGGCUCAGAAACUGGACACGUGUCCUAGAAAAAUGGUCUUGAGCAGUUGUUCGAAGCAGGUUCGGCUGGUCACAAGCUGCACGCCGUACUUCAUUGCCAGUGGCCUCUUUGAUUUUUCAACUAUCGCUUGCCUUUUAAUCAGCCUGUUCUAUUAUCUCUCCACACAAAAACACAAAGAUUGCACUAACAUCUGCUUUCUUCUGUGUGAAGUUUACCUUGUCAUUCAUGCAGACUUUCACAAAAAAUUUUUUUUUUUCGAACACCCUUAAUUGGUUUUUUUGGUCAGGAACAAUAAUUAUUCUGACAAAAACCAAAUGAUUCUGUCAAAUAAUUCUAAUGAAGACAACCCCUCUUAGCUAUUCAGGAUGAGUGAUGUACCAUUGAACUUGUUGCUGUCUUGACUCCACAUUUGAUUCCACCAGGUUGACUGAAGACUGUGACUCAGAUCGAGUAACCUAAGUCACAGUGGAUGAUGGAGACUGAGGAACAAAACAAAAAAGCCUCUCCCUCCAUUCUGUUGGUCCGUUCACUCAGUCAUGCGCUGUUUCAAGUCUGGGCCGAUGCCUAAGUUCUAAACAGACCAACCUGUGUGUCAGGAAAACGGUAUCCUCACACACAAUGAGAGCGAGAGAACGAACACUAAAUGUUCAAACUACGCAAACUGGUACAAAGGGUGGGUUUUGUCUAUGGGGAGAAGAGUUCUGUCUGCCUGUCUCUCAAUGCUCCCCUAACUCCACUCCCAUGGUCAGUCGUUCAGCAGAAAAACGGAUCGAUAACGAGUUGAAGUUCUCCGUGCCAAGUGACUCCUCGUAAAUGGGUACUUAAACUUUUUCUUUUUUUUUUUUCCCCUCCUCCGGUGGGGUGAGAUGAGGAAGCCAAACGGGCUCGGUGUUUAAAGUGAGAAAAUGAAAGCUGUGCUUCCUAAUGUCCUGUCUAAGUGGAUGUCUCUGUGUCUGAUGAAGCGUGAAGUGCUCUGUAACCCUAACAAAAUGACUAUCACUGUGUUCCUGUGGUUUUAAAUGGCCUUCUCCUCAGUGUCACUGUCUCUGCCUUCAUCCUGCUCAGUAUGAAAUGGGACGGCGAGAUGGAGGCCACCUUUAAAUAUAGUAAUUGCAUGAAGGGCAGGCGUUUAUCUCCGCUUCCGCCCUGAAACAAUGUAAUGACUGGAAAGGUCAAAUUGUCGCCGCACUUUCAACUUAAUAUUUCAGUUUCUGUAUUUUGAAUGUUUUGAGACCACGGAUGUGUGUGUGUGUGUGUGUGUAUAUAUAUAUAUUUAUAAUGUGUGUGUGUUUUGUUUUUUUUUAAGUUCAGCAUUAUAUUUUAUGACACUGAAAUUUUAACCACAUUCUGUUGCUGUUAAUAUUUGAAAGGAGUUAUUACAAUGAAGUUUUUUUUUUUUUUUAUUCUCAACACGAUAAAUAUUUUUAUGUUCCAUCAAAUCACAAUUGGCACCUUUUUACUUACAGAAAAUGAGUUUUAGUGAGAGGAAAAAAAUGCAAAUUUGGAUACAUGUGUUCAAAAACCUAACAGGUUUUCUUCCUGGAUUUUAAAAAAAGUCUCACAGCAUUCAAUCUUUUUUUUUUUUCUUUCAAAAACAGAAGUAGUGUAGCGAUGCUCCCUCACAACAUGAUGAUGUCCAGGAUCAAACUGCAGGGCGUUUUGUCUUUCUGCUGGUGAGGGAUUAUUAAAUCCUACAUGUACACAAGCAGCUGAUAUUAUUCCUGUUUUAUUCUGUACUUCCCGUGCCAGCUAUGAGACCCUCCCUGUCUGGAAACUGUUGAGCUGAUUCUUAUAACCCGACUUUCUUUAAUGAUCUAAGUUAAUGGCAGAUUACAUCUGAGUAUAUUCAAACCUACUUUUGCUAAUUUAACUGUACAAAAUAUGAGUGCAAAUCACUUGCAUUGGUGAAAAGGUUUGACUUAAUCUCCUUUCUAUUUACUGGACAUUAUGUCAAAUGAUCCAGUUUGAAGAACAGGUGUACUUGCAUGAAAUCAAUAUGCUUGUGUACUGAAAAAAAGCCGACAGCAGUAAUUUGUGAUUUAUCCGUUUUGAAGAGAUAAAGCUCGCUUGCUUGUGAUCUUGUAGGCGUUAAAAAUAAAAACAUACACUGACAGAGUUGACAUGUAACUCCUCCCUCUGGUAACAUGGUACGAGCAGGCAUGUUUGAGGCCGACGAUUCAUCCUCUGCUCUCUUAGAAUGAGGAAACACUCAUGUUUGACUUAUGUUCUUGUUUCACUGUGCAAAUAGACAUUCAGCUAAUGAAGCUACAGUCAUGGCCUCACCUUAUUAUGACUCAAACCUGUCGGUGGCUGCAGAAACAUUUGCUAUUCAAACAGCAAAGGCUCUGGAUGGAAACGAGAGCUGUGUGACGAUGGAGCCGGCACAGUGAUUGACUCCCUCUUGCACCACGAAGCCACUGGUGUGUAGCUUGAGCCUCAGCAACAUCUAUUCAGGAUUAAUUUUCCAAUUCUGGAAAAUAUCAUUUGUUUCUCACUUGUGUUCUUGCUCAUGUGAUUGUUGUUGUUGUAGGUCUGAUGUGGGAUACAGUUUGUAUCAUAAAAAUGAUCUUACUGGAAGCUAAAAGGUCAGUUUGAAUGUAAAAUAAAAUAUGAAAAGCAGAGUUGAAUAGUUUCUAAAGAUAAUAACUUUAAAAAAAAAUUGUUCUUAUGGAAAACUGCUUUUGUUUUGUGAUGAGGUGUUUUUCAUUUUUGUGGAUCUGGAUUUUUUUUUUUUUUAUGAUUUCCCUUAAAGUUCAACAUAUUUUAGGUCAAUUGUUUUUCUGCAAAAUGUCUGUUCCUCAUUCAUGUACUGUAUAAUGCCUUUAAAAAAAAGAAAAACAUCUGACUUCAUCUUUUGUGGCUGAGCAAUACAUACAAAUUCAAUGAUGUCCAUUCACUCGUGGACUUUUGUACAGACCUUAUUUAUAAACCUGCAUAUUUUAAACAUUUGCUAAAGUCAAUUGAUUUAAUGUCUCGUUUGAUCCGGUCUUCUGGUUUUACGUUUAUCUAAUUAUUGGCUUAUGAAGGAUGAAUACAAAAGCCAGUGUUUGCUUAUCACUCUCCUACAAAUGUUAAGAGAUGCAAAAUCAAUGCCUUAAUUAAACAUUUGCAUUUCUAAUGUUGGCAUUUUCCAAACUUUGUAGCUCUUGAGCCUUGUGCCUUUCCCUGUAGAGCCAAACAAAAUAUGGCUGCAGUGAGAGCGGACGUGACUCUUAAGCUAACAAGCAUUUGCCAGUGGAAUCGUGUUCCCUCUUUGGCAGCUCUACAUCUUGGCAUGUUGGUGUUGAGUGCUUGGAGCUCCCUUUAGAUGAUAUUAAGUGAGUCUCCCAUUGGUAAGAAGCGUUACUUUUCAUAUGUAUUCAAAUUUGACAAGACAUUUGUCUGAAAACAGGAGUAUCUAAUUAUUUCCAAAUUUAAUGCUAAUUUGAUAUUCCACAAAAUAUUCGAAUGUGAGCACGUUAUCUGUGCUUUAUUUACUUGCAUUUUGAAUGUGAGCAUCAGUCGAAGCUGGAUUUACUCAAAUCUUUAGAGAAAAGGUUUUCUGCACAGAUUUUCCAUCAGCGUGUCGCCUUCAGGAUGUUUGUAGAAACUGGAUGUCGCUGGUUUUGAAUACUGUGAAGGGCUUUGAGUGGGAGGAGUGGAUCUUUAUUGCAGCGAAAGUCGUCAGCAGCUGGUUUCCUCUUGGAGCUCUGGAAUAAUGACAUGGGGAUGAUCUCAGGACAGUAUGUAUCCUCUAAUCUUUCUCGCUGUGCUGUUGCAUGACCACCAAUCCUGUUACUGCAGAGCUCCAGACGCUAUCGAUUCUCGGCUUUAAGCAUCUUGAUCAGGAUAAAUCUGACUUUUAAACACAAGGCUGGAACACUGAAGUGUUUCUUUAAUUCCCGCCAUGAUGCUUACUCAGGAUGUCAAGUUGAUUUGAACUUGCUCUUGACAAAACACUCCAGUCAUUCUUGGUGUGACCCCUGCAGGCUCUCUGCAUUCUGUUGCACCAGUGUCCUUUUGAUUCAGUUUAACCUCAAAU